UGAACGCUAGCGGCAGGCCUAACACAUGCAAGUCGAGGGGUAACGGGGUGCUUGCACCGCCGACGACCGGCGCACGGGUGCGCAACGCGUAUACAAUCUACCUUAUGCUGAGGGAUAGCCCAGAGAAAUUUGGAUUAAGACCUCAUGGUAUCGAGAGACGGCAUCGUUUUUUGAUUAAAGGUUACGGCAUAAGAUGAGUAUGCGUCCCAUUAGCUAGUUGGUGUGGUAACGGCACACCAAGGCAACGAUGGGUAGGGGUCCUGAGAGGGAGAUCCCCCACACUGGUACUGAGACACGGACCAGACUCCUACGGGAGGCAGCAGUGAGGAAUAUUGGACAAUGGACGGAAGUCUGAUCCAGCCAUGCCGCGUGCAGGAAGACGGUCCUAUGGAUUGUAAACUGCUUUUAUACGGGAAGAAUAAGGGCUACGUGUAGCCCGGUGACGGUACCGUAAGAAUAAGGAUCGG
rnacentral:rRNA from 1 species